AUAGAUAUUACGAAGAACAUCAGUGGCGAAGGCGGCCUGCUGGUCUACAACUGACGCUGAGGCACGAAAGCGUGGGGAUCAAACAGGAUUAGAUACCCUGGUAGUCCACGCCGUAAACGAUGAGUGCUAAGUGUUAGGGGGUUUCCGCCCCUUAGUGCUGCAGCUAACGCAUUAAGCACUCCGCCUGGGGAGUACGACCGCAAGGUUGAAACUCAAAGGAAUUGACGGGGAUCCGCACAAGCGGUGGAGCAUGUGGUUUAAUUCGAAGCAACGCGCAGAACCUUACCAGCCUUUGACAUCCUGGUCGCGGAUUAGAGAGAUCUUUUCCUUCAGUUCGGCUGGACCAGUGACAGGUGCUGCAUGGCUGUCGUCAGCUCGUGUCGUGAG
rnacentral:rRNA from 1 species